rnacentral:rRNA from 1 species
CUACGGGCGGCUGCAGUGAGGAAUAUUGCACAAUGGGGGAAACCCUGAUGCAGCAACGCCGCGUGAAGGACGAAGGUUUUCGGAUCGUAAACUUCUUUGAUUGGGGAAGAAUAAAUGACGGUACCCAAAAAACAAGCCACGGCUAACUACGUGCCAGCAGCCGCGGUAAGACGUAGGUGGGAAGCGUUGUCCGGAUUUACUGGGUGUAAAGGGCGUGUAGGCGGGGAGACAAGUCAGAUGUGAAAUACCACGGCUCAACCGUGGGGGUGCAUCUGAAACUGUUUCUCUUGAGUGCUGGAGAGGAAAGCGGAAUUCCUAGUGUAGCGGUGAAAUGCGUAGAUAUUAGGAGGAACACCAGUGGCGAAGGCGGCUUUCUGGACAGUAACUGACGCUGAGGCGCGAAAGCGUGGGGAGCAAACAGGAUUAGAUACCCGAGUAGUC